CCUACGGGAGGCAGCAGUAGGGAAUAUUGCUCAAUGGGGGAAACCCUGAAGCAGCAACGCCGCGUGGAGGAUGACGGUUUUCGGAUUGUAAACUCCUUUUGUUAGAGAAGAUAAUGACGGUAUCUAACGAAUAAGCACCGGCUAACUCCGUGCCAGCAGCCGCGGUAAUACGGAGGGUGCAAGCGUUACUCGGAAUCACUGGGCGUAAAGAGCGCGUAGGCGGGUUAGCAAGUCAGAUGUGAAAUCCUAUGGCUUAACCAUAGAACUGCAUUUGAAACUGUAAUUCUAGAGUAUGGGAGAGGUAGGUGGAAUUCUUGGUGUAGGGGUAAAAUCCGUAGAGAUCAAGAGGAAUACUCAUUGCGAAGGCGACCUACUAGAACAUAACUGACGCUGAUGCGCGAAAGCGUGGGGAGCAAACAGGAUUAGAUACCCUUGUAGUC
rnacentral:rRNA from 1 species